rnacentral:rRNA from 1 species
UACAGAGGUCUCAAGCGUUGUUCGGAUUCAUUGGGCGUAAAGGGCGCGUAGGCUGCGGGGCAAGUCGGGUGUGAAAUCUCAGAGCUCAACUCUGAAACUGCACUCGAUACUGCUUUGCUUGAGGACUGGAGAGGAGACUGGAAUUCAUGGUGUAGCAGUGAAAUGCGUAGAGAUCAUGAGGAACACCAGUGGCGAAGGCGGCUUCCUGGCCUGUAACUGACGCUGAGACGCGAAAGCGUGGGGAGCGAACCGG